rnacentral:lncRNA from 1 species
CCCCUCUCGCCAAAUCAGCGACCAGAGAAAUGGAUUCAUCCUCCCUUCCUUCACCGUCUCCUCCGCCGUCUCCUCCUCAGCAAGCUUCUCCCGGAUCCCCCUCUACCACCACCGCCUCCGCCGCAGACGAUCAGCAGCAGCAAGACCAAUCGCAGCAGCAGCAGAAUCAAGCGGCAGCUGAAGAGAAAGAGUGCCUGCACAAGACCAAAACGGUACAGUUCUUGGGCCG